rnacentral:rRNA from 1 species
AACGAACGCUGGCGGCAUGCCUAACACAUGCAAGUCGAACGAGACCUUCGGGUCUAGUGGCGCACGGGUGCGUAACGCGUGGGAACCUGCCCUUAGGUUCGGAAUAACUCCCCGAAAGGGGUGCUAAUACCGGAUAAUGUCUUCGGACCAAAGAUUUAUCGCCUUUGGAUGGGCCCGCGUUGGAUUAGCUAGUUGUUAGGGUAAAAGCCUACCAAGGCGACGAUCCAUAGCUGGUUUGAGAGGAUGAUCAGCCACACUGGGACUGAGACACGGCCCAGACUCCUACGGGAGGCAGCAGUGGGGAAUAUUGGACAGUGGGCGAAAGCCUGAUCCAGCACUGCCGCGUGAGUGAUGAAGGCCUUGGGGUUGUAAAGCUCUUUUAACCGGGAUGAUAAUGACAGUACCGGGAGAAUAAGCUCCGGCUAACUCCGUG